rnacentral:rRNA from 1 species
UACGGAGGGUGCGAACGUUAAUCGGAAUCACUGGGCGUAAAGCGUGCGCAGGCGGUUUUGUAAGCCGGAUGUGAAAUCCCCGGGCUUAACCUGGGAAUGGCAUUCGGGACUGCAAGGCUGGAGUGCGGCAGAGGAGACUGGAAUUCCUGGUGUAGCAGUGAAAUGCGUAGAUAUCAGGAGGAACACCGAUGGCGAAGGCAGGUCUCUGGGCUGACACUGACGCUCAUGCACGAAAGCGUGGGGAGCAAACAGG